rnacentral:rRNA from 2 species
UUGACCUCGGAUCAGGUAGGAAUACCCGCUGAACUUAAGCAUAUCAAAAG